UCCUCUGCAAUUUUGAAACUAGGAUAUGAUUCAAGAACUACUAAUAAUUUACGAUGUGGUUGUGUUUCUACAGAGAUAUUCUCGGCGACACUGUAAUACAACCACAAGCAGAUGGUGUUUACAACAUCCCUGCAUUGUCAAAGAGAUUAUCCAAAACUCGCACUUGGGUUAUAAGUUUAUUUCUUUCUUUGUAAGUUUCCUCUGAACAAGAUCCUAUAAAUGUGUUUCCAUUUUGACAAACACAUGUACGUACAGGUAAGCAAUGAAGGUGUUGAUAAUCAUUCACAGAACGUUAAGAGAGAACUUUAAGAGAUGGUGAUCCUAUAUUCAUAGAAGAUCUUUUAAAUUACACUCACGGAAGACACAUUCUCAAGAUUUCUAAACUCAAACUUCAAAGACGAUACAUGCCCUCUUGCCUGGGAUUGCUCUGCUUGGGAUAGAACUUACACGCUCUUUCUCGAAGAGCGGCAUGAAUGUUAUUAUGUUUUAAAGUAUGAUAUAGAGGCAGAGCCUUUGGCAGGAGCUUAAGAUGCAGCUUCCAAGGUGAUAACAAUCCCGGAUAUGAUAUACAUGGAGCGUUUAUGUUGAUCACACUAUUAUAUGGUUCAUGCACAGGGGAUGAUAACAAUCGUGAAUAUGAUAGACCUGAAGCUAGGGCUGUUUCAUCUAAACCUUUGAAAAGAUUGUCCAAAAUAGUCCCAGCUACCUGUGCUGGGAUGGCUUCUUCUUGAGAUGCAGAAAGAUCAACAGCCUCUAACAGUCUCAUUCGUGUUGAACCUGUGCAUGGUGCAGAUGUUCAGGAGGAAGGGCGCAAUGGCAAAAAGCCACGCAAUGCUUAGCUUCCCAGCUUAGGAAUGGGCAAGACCAAAGCUGACAACUGCUCAUCCAUAGGUUUUUUUAUCUACUCUUACGCUAAAAGAAAAUUGACUAGGAUUAAGUUUCGUUCUUGAAUCAUGUCAUUGUUGGUUUUUUAUCUUCACAUUUUGAUAUCUUCAUCACUACGUAACUUAUUGGGUCCAUUCUUUUUCUAUAAAAUUGUGAUCCAUCCAACUAGCCAAUUUGUUUAGUAAAUAUCACCUCCUGACU